rnacentral:rRNA from 1 species
UACGUAGGCAGCGAGCGUUGUUCGGGGUUACUGGGCGUAAAGGGUGUGUAGGCGGUUGUUUAAGUUUGGUGUGAAAUCUCCCGGCUCAACUGGGAGGGUGCGCCGAAUACUGAAUGACUAGAGUGCGGGAGAGGUGAGUGGAAUUCCUGGUGUAGCGGUGAAAUGCGUAGAUAUCAGGAGGAACACCAGCGGCGAAGGCGGCGCUCUGGGCCGGUACUGACACUGAGGAGCGAAAGCGUGGGUAGCAAACAGG